AUGGCUCAGGAUGAACGCUGGCGGCGUGCUUAACACAUGCAAGUCGAACGAAGCGCAUUGUUUGAAUUCUUCGGAAGGAAGAUAAUGUGACUGAGUGGCGGACGGGUGAGUAACGCGUGGGUAACCUGCCAUGUACAGGGGGACAACAGUUGGAAACGGCUGCUAAUACCGCAUAAGCGCACGAGAUUGCAUGAUCUAGUGUGAAAAACUCCGGUGGUAUAUGAUGGACCCGCGUCUGAUUAGCUAGUUGGUAAGGUAACGGCUUACCAAGGCGACGAUCAGUAGCCGACCUGAGAGGGUGACCGGCCACAUUGGGACUGAGACACGGCCCAGACUCCUACGGGAGGCAGCAGUGGGGAAUAUUGCACAAUGGGCGAAAGCCUGAUGCAGCGACGCCGCGUGAACGAAGAAGUAUUUCGGUAUGUAAAGUUCUAUCAGCAGGGAAGAAGAAAUGACGGUACCUGACUAAGAAGCCCCGGCUAACUACGUGCCAGCAGCCGCGGUAAUACGUAGGGGGCAAGCGUUAUCCGGAUUUACUGGGUGUAAAGGGAGCGCAGGCGGCCCGGCAAGUCUGAUGUGAAAACCCAAGGCUCAACCAUGGGAUUGCAUUGGAAACUGUCGAGCUAGAGUAUCGGAGGGGUAAGUGGAAUUCCUAGUGUAGCGGUGAAAUGCGUAGAUAUUAGGAGGAACACCAGUGGCGAAGGCGGC
rnacentral:rRNA from 2 species